UGGGGUGUGGCUCAGUGGUAAAGCGCUUGCCUGACCUGCAUGAGGUCCUGGGUUCCAGCCCCAGCCCUGCAA
rfam:Ictidomys tridecemlineatus contig074036, whole genome shotgun sequence.